AUACGUAGGGGGCGAGCGUUGUCCGGAUUUAUUGGGCGUAAAGAGCUCGUAGGCGGUUCAACAAGUCGGUCGUGAAAGUUCAGGGCUCAACCCUGAAAUGUCGAUCGAUACUGUUGUGACUAGGAUACUGCAGAGGUGAGUGGAAUUCCGAGUGUAGCGGUGAAAUGCGUAGAUAUUCGGAGGAACACCAAUUGCGAAGGCAGCUCACUGGGCCGCUAUCGACGCUGAGGAGCGAAAGCUAGGGGAGCAAACAGAAUUAGAAACCCCAGUAGUCC
rnacentral:rRNA from 1 species